AUCCAGGAUUUCUCUUCCCCAAGGCAGGUUAUAGAAACUACAACUCCUCUCUUCCAAAGCAAGCCAAAAAGAAGACCCUCAUUCCAAAGGAGCCCUUCCCUGUAGCCAGCAGGAAGGAUGCUACACGAAGAGGCCAAGUCAUAACCCUUAAAGUUGAUUUCCUCUGUGUGACCAUUUUCUGUCAAGAAAUGUAGCUUUAUAUCCACUACUGGGCAAAGACAUAGAGAAGGGAUGGUGAUGGUGAUGGAGGGUCUCCAGGGGAAUUACGAGAGUUGUGGUGGUGUCUCACGAGGCAUUGGCGAGGGAAAAGAUCCCACUCACAUGAUUGGCAGGCCUGGGCAAAGCUAGUAUGGACAGUCUCUAAAGUACUCUCAGAUGGAAGUAUUCAUGGAGCAGUUUUGAUAUGAUUUGGCUGUGUCCCCACCCAAAUCUCAUCUUGAAUUGUAGUUCACAUA